rnacentral:lncRNA from 1 species
ACGGUGAAACAUAAAAUAGUUUAAACCAGGUAAAAAGGAAUUAGAUGUAAUUAAUGAAUCUUUGAUCGAAAUUGUAAAACUCACGGGAUCCACUGUCAUUUCAUAGUAUAUCUGGGGGAAUAAGGUGGAAUAAGUCCUUAUUCCACCUUAUUCCCAGCAACCAAACUUGACGACUAUUUACUGUAUCUUUAGCUCUUUGCAUUUUUUUUCCAAACACAUUAUCAAUCAAAAUAGGUGAGUCUUAUAACAUAAU